CGUAGGUGGCGAGCGUUGUCCGGAAUUAUUGGGCGUAAAGGGCGCGUAGGCGGCUCUUUAAGUCAGAUGUGAAAACCCCAGGGCUUAACUCUGGGAGUGCAUUUGAAACUGAAGAGCUCGAGUGCAGGAGAGGUAAGUGGAAUUCCUAGUGUAGCGGUGAAAUGCGUAGAUAUUAGGAGGAACACCAGUGGCGAAGGCGACUUACUGGACUGUAACUGACGCUGAGGCGCGAAAGCGUGGGGAGCAAACAGGAUUAGAUACCCUGGUAGUCCACGCUGUAAACGAUGGAUACUAGGUGUGGGAGGUAUCGACCCCUUCCGUGCCGCAGUUAACGCAAUAAGUAUCCCGCCUGGGGAGUACGGCCGCAAGGUUG
rnacentral:rRNA from 1 species